rnacentral:rRNA from 1 species
ACCCGCUGAAUUUAAGCAUAUAAGUAAGUGGUGGAAAUUAAACCAAAUGGGAUUCCUUAAGUAAUUGCGAAUGAACAAGGACAUGCUUAGCUUGACAAUUGGAGCCUCUGGCUUCGACUUGUAUUUUUGAAAUGUAUUACCAACAGAGGUGCAGGUGUCAGCCUAUUGAAAGAAAGCGUCAAUGAGGGUGAGAAUCCUGUUUGUCAUGUGCAAUCCUCUGUGCACGGUGUAUGUUUGCUGAGUCACACUCCUUGGCAUUGGAAUGCAAAGUGGGUGGUAAGUUUCAUGUAAAGGUAAAUAUAGGAUUGAGACUGAUAGCACACAAGUACCAUGAGGGAAAUAUGAAAAGGACUUUGAAAAGAGAAUUAAAUGAGUUUGUAUUUGCUGAACAGAAAAUAAACAGAUUUGAUGUUGCUUGGUGAGAUUGUGGUGCUUGCUUGACAAUAGGUUUUGAUUGUGGGUGUGAUGAUUCUUGCUUUGCUUGCCAGUUUCUAUUUGUACAUUUGAUUACCCUUGCACAUGAAUGGUAAUUUUCCUGCGGGGUUUGGAUUGCAUGUGUUUGUGAUGAUUUGUGUUUUGAUACAUGUGUCUGGUGCUUUUGUAAUUGCUCAUUUCUUGAAGCUGGGCCUACCCUACUAGAGCUUACAAGCCCUGGCACACAAUUGCUGGCAAAAUGCUUCUGCUUGACCCGUCUUGAAACACGGACCAAGGAGUCUAACAGAUGUGCAAGCUUGAGGGUUGCAUACCUUUGUGCGCAAUGAAAGUGUUGGCUGGGAUAUUUGCACCAGCAGCCGACCAAUUAGCAGACAGAGGUUCGAGUUGGAGCAUAUCUAUUAGGACCCGAAAGAUGGUGAACUAUGCCUGGACAGAAUGAAUUCAGAGGAAACUCUGAUGGAGGUUCGUAUCGAUACUGACGUGCAAAUCGUUCGUCAUAUUUGGGUAUAGGGGCGAAAGACUAAUCGAACCAUCUAGUAGCUGGUUCCCUCCGAAGUUUCCCUCAGGAUAGCUGGAGUUGCACAGUUUUAUCAGGUAAAGCGAAUGAUUAGAGGAAUUGGGGACACAUUUGUCCUUGACCUAUUCUCAAACUUUAAAUGGGUAAUCUGUAGUGGUUGCUUUAUGGAACAUCUGAAAUGAAUGGCAAUAUUGGGUGGGCCAUUUUUGGUAAGCAGAACUGGCGAUGAGGGAUGAACCUAAUGUGGGGUUAAGGUGCUUAAUUACUUGCUCAUUUGAUACCAGAAAGGGUGUUGGUUCAUUUUAACAGCAGGACGGUGGUCAUGGAAGUCGAAAUCCGCUAAGGAGUGUGUAACAACUCACCUGCCGAAUGGACUAGCCCCGAAAAUGGAUGGCGCUCAAGCGGGUGACUGAUACCCAACCACUGUUUCAAACAUAUCAGUGUGUAGGAGGGCAUGGUGGUUUGUGACACAGCCUUUGGUGUAAACCUGGGUGAAACAGCUUCUAGUGCAGAUCUUGGUGGUAGUAGC